AUCAGCCCGCUCCCGGUAAAACGGGACGGCCCGCCAGAGGACCCCUAAACUCUGUUUCUAUAUGUAACUUCUGAGUAAAACCAUAAAUAAAUCAAAACUUUCAACAACGGAUCUCUUGGUUCUGGCAUCGAUGAAGAACGCAGCAAAAUGCGAUAAGUAAUGUGAAUUGCAGAAUUCAGUGAAUCAUCGAAUCUUUGAACGCACAUUGCGCCCGCCAGUAUUCUGGCGGCAUGCCUGUUCGAGCGUCAUUUCAACCCUCAAGCACAGCUUGGUGUUGGGACUCGCGUUAAUUCGCGUUCCCCAAAUUGAUUGGCGGUCACGUCGAGCUUCCAUAGCGUAGUAGUAAAACCCUCGUUACUGGUAAUCGUCGCGGCCACGCCGUUAAACCCCAACUUCUGAAUGUUGACCUCGGAUCAGGUAGGAAUACCCGCUGAACUUAAG
rnacentral:rRNA from 1 species